rnacentral:rRNA from 1 species
UGGGAAUCUUGCACAAUGGGCGAAAGCCUGAUGCAGCAACGCCGCGUGCGGGAAGACAGCCCUAGGGUUGUAAACCGCUUUCAGCAGGGAAGAAACUGACGGUACCUGCAGAAGAAGAUGCGGCCAACUACGUGCCAGCAGCCGCGGUGACACGUAGGCAUCAAGCGUUAUCCGGAUUUAUUGGGCGUAAAGAGCUCGUAGGCGGUUCGGUAAGUCGGGUGUGAAAACUCUGGGCUCAACCCAGAGAGGCCACUCGAUACUGCUGUGACUAGAGUGCGGUAGGGGAGCGGGGAAUUCCUGGUGUAGCGGUGAAAUGCGCAGAUAUCAGGAGGAACACCAGUGGCGAAGGCGCCGCUCUGGGCCGUAACUGACGCUGAGGAGCGAAAGCAUGGGUAGCAAACAGGAUUAGAUACCCUGGUAGUCCAUGCCGUAAACGUUGGGCACUAGGUGUGGGUCUCAACCGAACGAGAUCCGCGCCGUCGCUAACGCAUU